rnacentral:rRNA from 1 species
AGCGAACGCUGGCGGCAGGCCUAACACAUGCAAGUCGAACGGACCCUUCGGGGUUAGUGGCGGACGGGUGAGUAACACGUGGGAACGUGCCCUUUGGUUCGGAACAACUCAGGGAAACUUGAGCUAACACCGGAUGUGCCCUUCGGGGGAAAGAUUUAUCGCCAUUGGAGCGGCCCGCGUCUGAUUAGCUAGUUGGUGAGGUAAAGGCUCACCAAGGCUACGAUCAGUAGCUGGUCUGAGAGGAUGAUCAGCCACAUUGGGACUGAGACACGGCCCAAACUCCUACGGGAGGCAGCAGUGGGGAAUCUUGCGCAAUGGGCGAAAGCCUGACGCAGCCAUGCCGCGUGAAUGAUGAAGGUCUUAGGAUUGUAAAAUUCUUUCACCGGGGACGAUAAUGACGGUACCCGGAGAAGAAGCCCCGGCUAACUUCGUGCCAGCAGCCGCGGUAAGAC